CGGGUUGUGGCUCAGUGGUAGAGCACUUGCCUUGCAUGUGUGAGGCCCUGGGUUCAAUCCUCAGCACCACAU
rnacentral:tRNA from 1 species